rfam:Myotis davidii contig162839, whole genome shotgun sequence.
GGCAGUUCUCAGGUGACACACCCCGGAAUCGGGCUCCUUCUUCUCUGUUUCUGGGUGCGUCGCCCAAGAACUGCA